rfam:Lupinus angustifolius cultivar Tanjil chromosome LG02, whole genome shotgun sequence.
GAACCUCAGGCCAAGCAGGUCUACCCGUUGAGUUUAAGCAUAUCAAUAAGUAGAGGAAAAGAAACUAAAAAGGAUUCAAAGUAACGGCGACCAAACUAGGAAAAGUCCACCAUGAGAAUUGGUCGCCUUCGGUGUCCGAAUAGUAGUCUUGAGAAGCAUCCUCAGUGGCAGACCAGGCCCAAGUCCCCUCGAAGGGGGCGCUAGAGAGGUUGAGAGCCUCGUCGUCCCUGGACCCUGUUGCACUAUGAGGCGCUGUCGGUGAGUCUAGUUGUUUGGGAUUGCAACCCCAAUUGGGCGGUAAAUUCUGUCCAAGGCUAAAUACUGGCGAGAGACCGAUAUCGAACAAGUACCGCGAGGGAAAGAUGAAAAAGGCUUUGAAAAGAGAGUCAAAGAGUUAUUGAAAUUGUCGGGAGGGAAGCAGAUGAGGGCCUGUGAUGUGCCUCGGUUGGAUGCGAAAUGGCGAGAGUUGGUCCACCAGUUGACUUGGGGCAUGGACCGACGAGAAUUAUGAUGGUGGCCCAAGCUCAGGAUGUUGACAUGAUCGCGGAGACGUUAUCAUCUCGAUUACAGUUGGAAGCGCACAACGUUUGAUAUGCUUCGGCACCGUCGUGCUCCAGGCGUCGGCCUGAGGGCUCCCCAAUUCGGCCCUUCUUGAAACACGAACCACGGAGUCUGACAUGUGUGUGAGUCAGUGGGCAAGUAAACUUGUAAGACGCGAGGAAGUUGAUUGAUGGGAUGCCCUUGUGGGUUGCACUACCAACCGACCUUGAUCUUCUAUGAAAGGUUCGAGUGAGAGCAUAUCUGUUGGGACCCGAAAGAUGGUGAACUCUGCCUGAGCGGGGCGAAGCCAGAGGAAAACUCAUGCGCAAAUUGUUCGUCUGACUUGGGUAUGGGGCAAAAGACUAAUCGAAUCGUCUUGUGAACAACACUUGGAAAUGGAUUAGUCGAUCCUAAGGGAUGGGGGAAGCCUGUAUGAUAGCGCUCUAAGUGUGCACUCCGAAAGGGAAUCAGGUUAAAAUUCCUAAACCGGGAUGUGGCGGCUGACGACAACGUUAGGGAGUCUGGAGACGUCGGCAGAGGCCACGGAAAGAGUUAUUUUUUUUGUUUAAUAGCAUGACCACCCAGGAAAUGUCUCAGCCGGAUGUAUGGUCUAGCGGCUGGAAGAGCACCGCACGUUGCAUGGUGUCUAGUGCGCCCCCGACAGCCCUUGAAAAUUCGGAGGACCGAGUGCCUCCCGUGCCCGGUUGUACUCAUAACCACAUCAGGUCUCCAAGGUGAAUAGCCUCUGGUUGAUGGAACAAUGUAGGCUAGGGAAGUCGGAAAAAUGGAUCUGUAACCUCGGGAAAAGGAUUGGCUCUAAGGGCUCGACACGUGGGUCUCAGUCCUUAACCCGUCAAUUAUCGGUGGACUGCUUCGAGCUAAUUAAUGAAUGGAUUAACGAGAUCUAAUUAAAUACCUCGUCAUCUAAUUAGUGACACACAUGAAUGGAUUAAUGAGAUUCCCACUAUCCUUGUCUAUUAUCAGCGAAACCACAGCCAAGGGAACGGGAUUGGCAGAAUCAGCAGGGAACGAAGACCAUAUUGAGCUUGACUGUAGUCCGACUUUGUGAAAUGACUUGUGAGGUGUAGGAUAAGUGAGAGCUAGAAACAACAAAAGUGAAAUACCACUACUCUUAACGUUAUUUUACUUAUUCCGUGAAUCAGAGGCAGGGCACAAUCCCUGUUUUUGGACCUAAGGUCGGCCUCGGUCGGUCGAUCUGGGCGGAAGAUAUUGUCAGGUGGGGAGUUUGGCUGGGGCGGCACAUAUGUUAAAAGAUAACGCAGGUGUCCUAAGAUGAGCUCAACGAGAAUAGAAAUCUCGUGCGGAACAAAAAGGUAAAAGCUCGUUUGAUUCUGAUAUCCAGUACGAAUACAAACCAUGAAAGCAUGGCCUAUCGAUGCUUUAGUCCAUCGGAAUUUGAAGCUAGAGGUGUCAGAAAUGUUACCACGGGGAUAACUGGCUUGUGGCAGCCAAGCGUUCAUAUCGACGUUGCUUUUUUAUCCUUCGAUAUCGACUCUUCCUUUCAUUGUGAAGCCGAAUUCACCAAGUGUUGGAUUGUUCACCCACCAAUAAGGAACGUGGGUUGGGUUUAGAUUAUUGUGAGACAGGUUAGUUUUACUCUACUUAUGACAAUUUGCAAUAGUAAUUCAACCUAGUAAGAGAGGAAUCAUUGAUUCACUCAAUUGGUCAUCGCGCAUGGUUGAAAAGCUAGUGGCACGAAGCUAUCGUGUGUUGGAUUAUGACUGAAUGCCUCUAAGUUAGAUUCUGGGCUAGAAGCGAUGUGUGUUCCCGUUGCCUGUUUGCCGACUAGUAGUAGGGGGCCUUGACCUCUAGAGGGACGUGCCGUUGGUGAGCCCCGUAGGGUGGAUGAGCCUCGCGGGACGCCUUGAAGCUCUAUUCGCCAUUAGGCGGCAGGUAGAAUCCUUUGCAUACGAUUUAAAUAGGCGACAGGGUAUUGUAAGUGGUAGAAUGGCCUUGUGAUGAUGAUCCAUUGAGAUUCAGCCCUUGUCGCUUCGAUUCAU